GACGUAGGGCGCGAGCGUUGUCCGGAUUUAUUGGGCGUAAAGAGCUCGUAGGCGGCUUGUCGCGUCGAAUGUGAAAUCUCAGGGCUCAACUCUGACAUUGCAUUCGAUACGGGCAGGCUAGAGUUCGGUAGGGGAGACUGGAAUUCCUGGUGUAGCGGUGAAAUGCGCAGAUAUCAGGAGGAACACCGAGUGGCGAAGGCAGGGUCUCUGGGCCGAUACGAUCGCUGAGGAGCGAAAGCGUGGGGAGCGAACAGGAUUAGAACUACCCGAG
rnacentral:rRNA from 1 species